GGGCGAUUAGCUCAGCUGGUUCAGAGCACCUGCCUUACAAGCAGGGGGUCACUGGUUCGAAUCCAGUAUCGCCCACGA
rnacentral:tRNA from 2 species